UGGGGAAACACUCCUCGCUUGAAUGCCGGUAUAAGUUAGUUGUGUUUCCUCUAGACGUUGCAACUUUAGUGCAACAGGUUUUGCACAGUACCUGUUUCUGGUGCACAUCUGCAGCCUCAAACCCGAAAUACUCCCAAAUGACCGACGUACUGUUUUUCUUGGGGUUUAAAAUCCCCAACUCCGCUUCUGGUUCUGCUGAAGCCAUUUUUAAACACGUAAAGAUUUCAAAGCGCAAGGAGCAUGUUAAUACUGAUUGGUUAGCAUGACCUGUCCACGAGCAGAAUGCUGCCUCUGAUUGGUGAGAUUGCCAGGAUGGUAGGAUUACGGCAUGUAUGUGUAAAAUAGUUGACACAACAGAUCCUGGGUCAGUCAGGAGCGCUGUAAAAACCGCAGCUUUGAUGAUCACGUGAUCGCGUCGUCUGAAAUUGCAAUUUUGAUCAGAAAACGAUAAAUCGUUCAGCCC